rnacentral:rRNA from 1 species
AUCUUCGGCAAUGGACGAAAGUCUGACCGAGCAACGCCGCGUGAGUGAAGAAGGUUUUCGGAUCGUAAAACUCUGUUGUUAGAGAAGAACAAGGAUGAGAGUAAAAUGUUCAUCCCUUGACGGUAUCUAACCAGAAAGCCACGGCUAACUACGUGCCAGUAGCCGCGGUAAUACGUAGGUGGCAAGCGUUGUCCGGAUUUAUUGGGCGUAAAGCGAGCGCAGGCGGUUUCUUAAGUCUGAUGUGAAAGCCCCCGGCUCAACCGGGGAGGGUCAUUGGAAACUGGGAGACUUGAGUGCAGAAGAGGAGAGUGGAAUUCCAUGUGUAGCGGUGAAAUGCGUAGAUAUAUGGAGGAACACCAGUGGCGAAGGCGGCUCUCUGGUCUGUAACUGACGCUGAGGCUCGAAAGCGUGGGGAGCGAAC